GAUGAACGCUGGCGGCGUGCCUAAUACAUGCAAGUCGAGCGAACGGACGAGAAGCUUGCUUCUCUGAUGUUAGCGGCGGACGGGUGAGUAACACGUGGAUAACCUACCUAUAAGACUGGGAUAACUUCGGGAAACCGGAGCUAAUACCGGAUAAUAUUUUGAACCGCAUGGUUCAAAAGUGAAAGACGGUCUUGCUGUCACUUAUAGAUGGAUCCGCGCUGCAUUAGCUAGUUGGUAAGGUAACGGCUUACCAAGGCAACGAUGCAUAGCCGACCUGAGAGGGAGAUCGGCCACACUGGAACUGAGACACGGUCCAGACUCCUACGGGAGGCAGCAGUAGGGAAUCUUCCGCAAUGGGCGAAAGCCUGACGGAGCAACGCCGCGUGAGUGAUGAAGGUCUUCGGAUCGUAAAACUCUGUUAUUAGGGAAGAACAUAUGUGUAAGUACCUGUGCACAUCUUGACGGUACCUAAUCAGAAAGCCACGGCUAACUACGUG
rnacentral:rRNA from 1 species